rnacentral:lncRNA from 1 species
CUGUCAGGUGCUGUCUUUAAUUACGGUAAAGGGUACACAACAUAAAAUUUACCAUUUCAACCGCGUUUAAGGGUGUCAUUCGCUCGGUGGCGUCAAGUACAUUCACGGUGUUUUGCAGCCGCCGCCACCCUCCCUCUUCAGAACGCUUCCAACUUCUCAACGGAGACUCUGUCCCCAUCAGGCUGACUCCCCACAGGCUCACCCCUGGGUGCCGGCACCCACCCUCUGAGGCUGUCUCUGUGGCUCUCGCCGCAAUGGUGCCCCCUGGCCAGGGAAUCAUGCGGUCUUUGUCCUCAGCGACAGCACAACGUCCCUGGGCGCAUCCGUGUUGUAGCAGGUGUCAGAGCUUCAUCCCCUUCUUUGGCCACAUCGUCCUCCGCGGCAGGGAGGGACCACAUCUUAUCUAUCCAUCACCUCUCGAGGGACCCGGGCUGACUUCACCUUUUGGCUCUUGUGACGAAUGCUGGCGUGAACACGUGUGUCUAAGUAUCUGAGUCACUGCUUUUCGACCCUUUGGGUCUUACUCAGAAUGGAAUGGCCGGAUCACGCGGCAUUUGUGCUCCCUUUUCUGAGGAACUGUUUGCUCUGGUGCCUGCACCACUUGGCUUCCCCACUCCUCUUCACAGUCAGCCCCUCAGCUGCGGGGACGUGUCAGGGUCCCAGAGGUAGAGCUGUUUUUAAGGACCAUACACAGCGCUGGUGGAGGCUGUGGGGAGCGGGCUCCCUCUGACACAGGCAGUGGGAUUUUAAGUUGCCCCCACCUUUCUUAAGAGCAAUACGUGCCAAAAUUUAAACUGUUUAGACCUGUAGAGACCAAUGCUUGCAGGAAUUUGUCCCAAGUAAACAUGCAGACUAGAUCGAAAAGAUACGUGUGUGUGUGCGCAAAGAUGUCCAUCAAAUGCCAUUAAGAACAGUAAAAUUAAAUCCAUAGACAAAUGGAUAACAAGCGAAAUGUCCAUUUAACCGUCAGUAGACACGUGGCUUUCAAGUUGCUGAUUUAUCCAUGUGAUGAAAUACUAUGCCGGGAACUUUAGGUGUCCCGACAGAGAAAACGACCACGGUGUGAUGUGCUGCUUUUGCGCAUUACCGAGCAGUGGGAUCCCGUUUUUGGACGUACCUUUUGAGGUAGAAGACCUGAAUGUACAGCUGCAGAGAGAGAUAAAUAUGUCUUUUUAUGUGUGUGUGUGCAUAUGUAUGUUUUGUACUUCAAAGUAUAACCACUGUCUUGGCUAAUGAAUACCUCCCGUCCCCUUCUGUGUCGCCCUCAUCCAAACUGGAAAAAUUCUGCCAACAAGAGGCACCCUUAUUUAGUGGCGGUGUCAAGGUGGCCUUUCAAUAGCACACUCAUUCUGCUGCCUCAGAGUCAGCCAGGAAAGGGAAGCGGGGGCGAGCGAGAGAAGAGAAAGGAAAAGCCAAGUGUUUGCGUAAGCACCUUGGAGGUUCUGAGCUCAAUAAGGCAGGUGUGCCGUGGGCUGCCUCGGGACCACAGGGGCCAAAGAGGCAGUCAGAGCACUAAUUAAAAUGUGCCAGAUUGCUGAAGCGCCAUCAGAUCCAGCUGCAGAAACCCAGAGGUCAGAGUGCAUAAAAUGCGGAUUUUUCCAUAAUUAUUUAAAUAUGUGUUAAUGAGUACUGCGAACACAGAGUAUGUCCAUUAAAGGAUGAAAAAUACAGGGAAAUUGAAAAGGAAUAACUUGGACUGUGGGGAAAACACUUACUCAGGGAUCCAACCCCCCAAUUUCUAUUUUGGUUCCAGUCCUGCUGCUCAGAGUAAGACACCCAACCACUCUGGGGCUCCGCUUCCUCAUCUGAAAAUGAAUGUCGGGGGGACCCGCUACGGAGCUCCUCAUCAUCCUUAAACCUGCCAGCCCCCCAGACUUAACGACAUCAGACGAAGCAUUGCAUGCAGAAAGGGAGCUUGCAGGACGAUUACGGAACUUCGUGUGUUUUCUUAGCAAUAUAAGUGGAGCAAAGGCCCUGGUUUUUAACCAGAGGAAUUGAGAAUACAAAUGAGCCAUUCAGAAAACUCAGAGAAAAAUGUGAUGGAGGGGGUGGGGCAUCAGAGCCUGGUGCCAUUAGCCCCCGGUUCCUGUUGUCCCCUCCCCUCGAAGUGCCAGCUUGGUCUGGGGUCCGCUUAAGGAGGGGCAUUUCCACCCGUCGCUGGAGGAGAGGCGGAACCAGGGGAUGGCAUUUCCAUCAUUUUUCUUCUCGAGCAAGGAAAGAAAAAAAAGAAAGAGCGAGCCCAGUGCAAGACUGCGGCAUUCCACGCCGUUGACACCUCGCCUUUGACUGGAGCUGCUGCUUCCAAAAUAAAGAAAGUGGUGAUUUCAGGGUGUAUUUUUGCCUGCGUUUUUGAGGAUGUUUGGGGCCUUUCAUCUCCUUUGAAGGCGCGUCACCUAGUUACGCUGCUUUCAUCCGAGUGCCCCCGUCGGAACACGCCGCUGCUUCCCUGGCAGUUGAUCGUGACGGACGGGUUUCCACUCUGCAGCUGGUGCGGAGAGCCUGGCUACUUGUGAAUACCUGAAGAAGCGCCUUUAAUCCAAAAACAAACUCCUCCUGAAAGACACAGGCUGAAAAGGCCUUUCACGGAGGGUUUUCCAGUUCCCUGGUUCAUGGUUUCUUUGGGUUGCACCGAGCUUCCUGCACUAAUGGUCUCUGAAUGCCUUCCCGGUUGUGGCCGGCUGGCCUGCCGAGGUCCCAGGCGUUACAGGGGAAGAAGGCAACCGGUAACACAGCAGAAGCUCGUUGGAGCUGCCGGGCCUGGACAGGUGGAGGCUGGAAGGACACCUAUGUGCUGAGAGCCCGAUGUUCUUUCUACAGCUUUCUCAAAGACGUGCUUCUCUAGGUAAUGCUUUAGAAGCCAAGUUGUAGUCACACAUAGCACGCACGUGGGAUUAAUCUGCUGGAUUAAAGACAGAGCAUUCGAAUCAGCGUUGAGAGGUCAUCCCUCCUCUAAUAAACGGAUUUGCUUUGGGUAGAGGGACAACAUGCAUUUUUUAAAAAAAAGUCCAUGUUAUUGAGACGACUGUGGGUCCAUUGAAAGAGUACAGAACUGACCUGGGAGCUGACCCGCGCCGGCCGGGCCUGCGGACUGCUGUCACUGGAGCCUCGGCCUUGGAGUCGCAGGUUCAAGUGCGGGAACCAGUACGUGUGUCGAGUCGCCGUCUAGACUGUCCUCACUUAUGUCAUGUUCGUGCCUCUGAAGCCUCAUCUCCAAGGUGACAGGUGGAUCAGAGGGCGUCAUGCAGUGUUGCCUGCACUCUCUUCUGUUCCUGGUUCCAAGGCCACCAGGUUCAGGGGAGGGACGCAGCCGUAGCGAGGCGGGUCCUGUGUGAGAGGCAUGGGUGUGCGACGCCACACCGCUGUCUUUGCAAGUCGCUUUCCGCCCCAGGCUUCGAGCGUCAUGGGUGAAAAUCUCUAAUGUCUAGAUUAGAUGUAAUUUCCAGGGCCCCUUCCUCUUAGAAGAGAAGAACAUCUCUAAAAAGACAAUAGUUCUGAGUUCAGACUCAUUUUUCAAGCGUCGUACUGUGGUACAGUUGGCAUAUGAUAAACUGCACACCUGGUAAGGUGACCACCCGGUAGGUCUGAGGUGAGUUCGUGCCGGUGAAGCCGUCCCCACGAUCGGGAUCUGGAACGAGCCUGCCCCCCGGCGUUGCCUCCUGCGCCUUCGGGGUCCCUCCUGCUCCAGCCAUCGGGGCCCUCCCCCCGGCAGUGACUGGCCUGCCUCGUGUCCCUGUGGGCGCCUAGAAUUGGAGGUAUAUGGAUUCGGAAACUGCUUUCUCUCUUCUGUGCCGCUUCUUUCAUUGGGCCGUUCUUUCGAGGUUCCCCUGUGGUGCAACAUGUUUCAGCAGCUUUUUUAAACGAUGGAGGUCUAGCUGGGGUGCGGGAGCAUGAAUCAGUACUUUGUUUUGAUAGCCGAGUAGUAUUCCGUUAUAUGGCUAUGACACAAUUUUGUUCGUCCACCCGCGCAUCGAUGCACAUUUCAGUUGCGUCCAGUGUGAGAUUGUUAUAAACCAAACGGCCACCUACCCAUGCCUGCGUUUCUCUUGGGUAAAUGCCUGGGACUGGAGUGGCCCGAAGCAUGUGGCAGGUUGUAUACGUUUUUAAGAAAUUGCCAAACCGUUUUCCAACGUGGUUGUCCUGACUUUCGGUUUCAGCUCUGACGCCGGAAGAGCUUGGGGUCGCUCCCAUUCUCACCACGAGAACAAUCCUGAGCCACCUGAGGACUGACGGCUUUUCUUGGUCACAUCAGAGGACCGGGGUCAGAGGGCACAGCAUCCGAAGGUCACGAGUGAGAUCCGCUGCCUCGCACCCUGGUAGGAGCAUUUCAUUUAGAUGACAAGGGGCUGGAGACCGAGUGUGCGCUGCUGUGGGCGCGGGGGAGUCUCAGGUCUGCCGGCGCAGCGCAUGGCCACAGUCUCAGGGCUUUUAUCCCCAGGAACUCCACCAGGUUUUGACAGGAAAGAGCUGAGAAAGACCGCACAGGAGUGGUGAUCGAACUUUAAUGCUGGCUGUCUUUCUAGGCGGGGGGUGGUAUUUCACUGUGGUUUUUUUGUCUUGUCCUUUAAUUCUCUUAACGGAGUCUUUUGAAAGCAUAAGUUUUGAAUUUUGCUGCCGUUCAGAAUCUCAAACUGUUCGUAUAUGUAGGUCAUGCCUCUGUAAGAGCUCAGGAUUAUGACAACUCUAAGAAAUCUUUGCCUAACACAUGGUCACAAAUGCUUUCUCCUUUUAUUCCAGAACUGUUAUCGUUUUAGGUUUUACAUUUAGAUCUCUGAUCCAUUUUGAAUUAACUUUGCUAAACGGUGACGCUGUGAUCGUUUGUAUUUUUCAAGGGAAGGAGGUUCCCUCUGUUCACUGUCUUCUGAGGGUUUUUUCUUUUCAAUCAGGAAUGGGUGUUAGACUGUGUCAAAUGCUUUGCAUCUUUAUCGAGAUGGCCGUCCGAUGUUCUGUUUGGUUUGUGAAAGCGGCGAGUGGCCCUGGCUCAGUUAACCUCGGUUUCCCCGAGUGACCCCGGCUCAGUUAACCUCGGUUUCCCCGAGUGACCCCGGCUCAGUUAACCUCGGUUUCCCCGAGUGACCCUGGCUCAGUUAACCUCGGUCCCCGAGGCAGGCGUCCCCUGGGAGCAGUGUGUGGUCUCCUUUAGAGAUGUCACCGGGUUUUAUUUUUCUGUAUUUUGUUUGUGAGGAAUAUUGGUCUGCAGUUCUCAUUUCUUCUCGUUUAUUUGUUUGUGUUUGGUACCAGGGUAAUGCUGCUUCAUUGAAUGCAUCCUAGUUGAUUUUUUAGAAGAGUUUGGGUAAAAUUGGAAUAAUUACGCUCCUGAAAUGUUUGCUAGGAUUCACCAGUGAAGCCGCUUGGUCCUGGAGUAGUCUUUGUGGGGACGUUUCCGACUGCAAGUAUAAUUUUGUUAACAGAGGGUACUCAUGCGUCUGAUAGUCUGCUUCUUUUAGAGGCAGCCGUGGUGGCUUGUGUCUUCCAGCAAGCUGUCCUCUUUUCCCAAGCGAGCGGUAAAACCUGUAGUGGUGUCAGUCCUCUCGUUUCUGACACAGGUAACUUGUGUCUUUCCCCCUUUUCCGUCCACCUGGCUAGAUGUUUAUUGCUGUCAUCUAUCUUCUCAAAGAACCAGCUCUGGGAUUCCUGGGUCUUCUCUGUUGUUUCCUGUUCAGAAUCUCUCCCCGAAGCAGAAGCACCUCCUUCCUCCUUUUCUUGCUGACCCUGUGCCAAAGGACCCCCCCUAAGACCAUCUAGGUCUAAGCUCCCACGUUUCUCAAGCUCCACCCCAGCACCUCCGACUUUCUUCUGACCGUCUGGUCAGAGGUCGAGCAUUUCAGCUGAAACUUCAGGAAAAAAAAGCCUGUGUGUAUACUCUGAAGUGUGUGCUCACUUGUGUAUACAACAGCUUUAGUGACGGGGCUGUAAAUGCAGGAUUCACUUGGCGCCGGGGGCAGGGGGCUCCCUGGCUCUGCCCUUUGCUAACAUAUAAGGGACUAACCACCUCUGAGCCUCCGUUUCCCUCGCUCUAAAACGGGAGUCACGAUGAUAACAAGGUUGUCGAAGGACCCGGCGAGGAGAUGGAUGCAAAGGGCUUGGCCAGAGUCUGGUGCUGGGCCAGCCCUCCGUGAGCAGUGCUGAAAUGUGACAGCGAGCGUGACGGUCCAGGGCUCCGUCCCCUUCACUGCUGGAAAGGCAGGAUUUACGGUCUUCCUUGUCUUCUGUUGAUGUUGGAGCCAGUGUUUAUUGGUUGUAAAUGGUAAAAAUACAAACCUGGCCUAGAAAUCCACAGACUGUGCCUUUUGUCCCAUUACGGACAAGUCCAUGGCCACGCCUGGUCAAGCACGGAAGUUUACAAGUCCAACAUCCAAAAUACACUUUCGUUACAAAAGUGUUGCCUCAGGAGGUUGGCAGCACUGUGGCCAUUGUUGCUGGAAGAGCUUGCGUCACUGGUGUUUCCCCGGGAUGCGGCUGCGCCCACGUGGCCGAGGAGGAUGAGGGCCGCCCUGGCCGGGGCACGAGACUCUGCACAGUGUGGGCCUCAGAAGGCUGCAGGGCUUUCUGUGACGGCCUUUGUCGGGGGCGGGGCGCAUCCUGAAUAGUGCGUGGCAGACCCCCAGCUCUACCUGUGGCCCCCAGGUGCCUUGGAAAAGGCCAGGCAGCCUCUGCGGGUCUAUCCUGGGACACUUGCUCUAUGAAUCUUUGAUGUGUGAGAUGCCCAGGUGUCCACUCACCUCCACGUCGAUGGUGGCAGGCGGGGGGCAGUUGGUGGGGGCCAGAGCAGGGGGAGAUGGAUGGGGCUGAUGGGUGUGGUUGGGGACAGAAAGAGAUGAACCUACGAGGUGACCCUGAGCAGCCGCACCUCUGUGCACAUGGCCUUGUAUUACUGUGGGGGCUGCUCGUUACACAGCUCGCUUUGGUAACGGGUGCACAGCC